AGAUUGAACGCUGGCGGCAUGCUUUACACAUGCAAGUCGAACGGUAACAGGCCGCAAGGUGCUGACGAGUGGCGAACGGGUGAGUAAUGCAUCGGAACGUGCCCAGUCGUGGGGGGAUAACGCAGCGAAAGCUGUGCUAAUACCGCAUACGAUCUAUGGAUGAAAGCGGGGGACCGAAAGGCCUCGCGCGAUUGGAGCGGCCGAUGUCAGAUUAGCUAGUUGGCGGGUAAAGGCCCACCAAGGCGACGAUCUGUAGCUGGUCUGAGAGGACGACCAGCCACACUGGAACUGAGACACGGUCCAGACUCCUACGGGAGGCAGCAGUGGGGAAUUUUGGACAAUGGGCGCAAGCCUGAUCCAGCAAUGCCGCGUGCAGGAAGAAGGCCUUCGGUUGUAACUGCGUUUUGUACGGAACGAAACGGUCUAGGUUAAGUUACCGUCGGACUAAGUGUACGGUAACCGUAAGAAUAAGACACCGGUACUAACGUACCGUGACC
rnacentral:rRNA from 1 species